rnacentral:rRNA from 1 species
UACGGAGGGGACUAGCGUUGUUCGGAAUUACUGGGCGUAAAGCGCACGUAGGCGGAUUUGUAAGUCAGGGGUGAAAUCCCGGGGCUCAACCCCGGAACUGCCUUUGAUACUGCGAAUCUCGAGUCCGGAAGAGGUGAGUGGAAUUCCUAGUGUAGAGGUGAAAUUCGUAGAUAUUAGGAAGAACACCAGUGGCGAAGGCGGCUCACUGGUCCGGUACUGACGCUGAGGCGCGAAAGCUAGGGGAGCAAACGGG